GGAGAUUUUUAAAUGAAAGUAAAACAUGCUUAUGGUAUUAAAUGUAAAUCAUACAUUGGAAAAUGCCUCCAGUCUCACUUCCUAAAGGUGUUCAGGUUUUUCUAGAAUGUUUUAUGUACAUAUGAGGAAGUAUUUUAACAGAUGACAGCUCUUCCUAAGCAUGGUCUUAAACAUUUUUCCUCUGUUUUACAAUCUGAGACAUGUAUGUUUCUGAGUAUGCUACAUGGAUCUUAGUCUUUGACACAAAGGCCCACUUUGCUUUGACCUGAGGAUACUCAGUGAUGGUUUAACCCCUGGUGUCGUAAUUGUUAAGUGCUGCUAACAAACAGGUAGGUGGUUCAUACCCGCUGGUUCAGUGAUAGAAAUGCCUGGCAAAUACCUUCCAUAAAGAUGAAACAAUCCAUUGCUCUCGAGUCUGUUCCAACUCAGCUACCUUAUAAGCUAGAACUGCCCCAUAGGGUUUCCAGGGGAGCAGCUGAACUGUCGCAUUCUUUGGUUAACAGCCAGUCUCUUAACCACUGCGCCACCAGGGCUCCUCCAUGAAGACUACAGCCCAGGAAAUCCAUUGGGGGCGGUUCUACUUCUGCGGAGUCAAGAUUGGCUCAGUGGCACCUACCAACAGCAACGAACGUUGUUGCCGUUGUGAAGUAGGAUGAAGCUGCGUCAUGUUGGAUGGGUUGGCGUUAAACCACGAUUGGAGGCUGUGACUAGUUAACUGUGGCUGCAUUUCUGGUUUUGGCACCACCUGCAGUUUUAACCCUUAUAGGAAUGUAAUGGACAGUAUUGAGGAUGAGGGCUGGUAGUACAGAAUUUGGCUUUUAAAAAACUUACAACUUGCUUAAAGUGUACAACCCUUUUUUAGUGGAAUCUUAACACCUCAGGAGACUCGUGUGGUCAGGCAAGAUUACUGCAGGGAUUGAGGAAAGCACUUCCUUGUGGUUUAAAAACAACACUGGAUGGCCCAAUUUAGGAGCCGAUUGAGCAACCUUUUCAACUUGCUGGGGGUUGGGGGAGGAAUGAUGGUUUAGUCCAAGUAGGCACGUGUAAGUGAUCACUUGGAUUCUCAAAGGGGACCUGGAGAUUAAAUCUCCACUCCUUUACUCACAUGAUUUUGAUGAGAGGUGGAUGGAGACAAAUUUGAAGUCUGUACCAUGUGCCUUGUCCAAGAUUGUUUCCUGAGCCAGGGCCAACUUAAUUAGCACGACUGCAGUUCAUGGACGAAAAUGAUGCAAAAGGUAGAGGUGAGUGGGUGGGUUUAUCUGAGGUCCCACGGGGGCUCUGGCACAGCUGGGACAAGGACUCAGGUGCUUCAACAGUGCCUGUUGCGGGGAGUAAUGAAAUGUUUAGAUCUGAGGGCUUGGAAGCAGCAGCCAGGGUUUAAAUCCUGGUUUCCUCACUUAAAGCUGUGUAAGUUUGGACCAGCUACAUCAUCUGCAGUUCUCUCAUCUGUAAAACGGGGGUAAUCAGAACCAACUACUUAUCCUGUGAGGGUUCAGUGACGUGAUGGAUAUGUACAGCUCACUGCCCAGUCAAUGGCUGUUCGCUGGUUAGGUCAGUGACAUGCAGUAGGCCCUUGGAUGCCUCUUUAAACAGAAUUGACUCUGAUGAUAGGCAGACAGGAAGUGCCUCUGAUUUGCGUACUGGGGGGGGCAUUGAGGUGAGGGGUCAAUGUCAAGAGAAAACCAAACCCGUUGCUGUUGCGUGGAUUCCGACUCAUAGUGACCCUAUAGGACAGAGUAGAACUGCCCCAUAGAGUUUCCAAGGAGCGCCUGGCGGAUUAUGAACUGCCGACCCUUUGGUUAGCAGCCGUAGCACUUAACCGCUACGCCACCAUGGUUUCCGGCUAAAGAAGUCUGACAUUUCAAGAAAGGGGCUUCUGAAGCCACAGGUUAGGCAAGUAGGAGAGAUGUAAAUAAGGAUUAAAACAGCAUUAGAUGACUUAAAGGAUUUUCAAAGUAGACCAUCCUGGAUUCAGUAUCCAGCAUUUUAGCUAUAUGUUGCUGGGCAAGUCAUCUCCUUACCAGUUCUGUUGAGGUGGAACUGGGUGUCUAAAAGUUUGUCAGGUUUAAGAUUUGUUUAUGCCGUCCCCUCCCCAACCCUCCCCAGUUGCUCUAGGUCUCACUGUAAAUGGGACAGGCUUGCCCUUAGCCUGGGACUCUUCCCACUGGACAGACACUUUGCCCAGCCCUGUUCUUGCUCGUUAACCUUGUCGGGACAGGCAGCCCUGGCUCUGUUUCACUAGAAGCUGUGGAGUUGAAAGGACAAGACAACUUACCCAGGCUUUCCCUCUGAGUUUGGAGGGCCUUUUCUUUCUCAGACAGCUGACAAAGGUUUGGAAGGCUGGGGAAGAGUAGGGAGCCGCUGGCUCAGAGGCUCCUGGCAUUCCCUGGGUAUCUUGGUGUCACUGAGCAGCUGAGUGAGACUAUCGCCAAAAAAUGGUUUCCUUGGCUUCUUCAAUACAUUCGCAGUGCACUUUUGGGACGGAAGGUAGACAACUAGAUAGGAAGGGAACUAAUCCACAUGCUGGUCACAGGGGAGGUGCUUUUUCAUUAUCAACCCUGUCAUAUGGGGGGUAUCACCUGUUUACUCAAGAAGCUCAGAGAAGGGGUGUGUGGUCUCUGCCCUGUUAGAGUUGGGCCCCCUCUUUAACAAAUAGUUUAUAAUGGCCCUUGAAUAUUCUCAGGUGAAAGUCAUGUUCAUGUUUAAAAAAAAGCCAUUAAUACAAAAGCAAUGUAUAAAACAGGUAUUUCAGUAUGUAAAUGUCAAGUAUGACUGCUAGAGACACAGAUGAUUGAACCCAUUUGAAGCCAUUAUAAAAACUACAGACAGGAAGUAAUAAUAGACCAGACUUACUGGAAUAUGGUAAGGGAGGUGAAAUAAGCUUUAAUGGAAAUAGGGGUGGCAUGCCAAGACGAGGAACAGACUGCCGAAUUGGAGAAAAUGAGGGCGGAUAUUCUCACCGAGAGCUGCACCUUGUAAUGUCAGAAUAACUCCCGUUAUGAAAAGGGGCAGAGUGGUGACAAAGGACAGUGUCUAUCCCAUGAGGUGGUUGUGAGAGGUUAAGUGAUUUAAUACAUGAAUUGUGGUCAAAAUAGUUCUGGCACUUAAGUACUGACUGGUAUUAAACAGUAUGUAUCCUAAGACGGAAGGGGUAUGGCUGGGAUUCCAACUACCAAGCUUUUGGUUAGCAGCUGCCCUCUUAACCACUGUGCCACCAGGGCUCCAAGACUGCCUUUAUUCCGUUUCAACUCUUCUAUAAUGGUCUUAUCCUAAAUUAGCGGGCUUUUGCAAAACAUAAAAGCGCUUUACUCUGUGGGGGAUGGGGGUGGGGGAGGUGGGCUCAGUCCCAUGGCCGUGAGUAGUUGUGUCUAGAUGCUCAUUAACAUCUAUGCCCCCUUCCGCUAAAGCCAGUUAUGGCUCCCUGGCCAGUGUGACAACCAAAAAGCCCCAUCGUUUUCUCAACCACCCACUAGGAGGCAGUACUGCCCCAUUGAGAAAUCACUGGGUCAAAAUCUUUGCCAGAGGUCCCACAUCUAUCUUUAGUAGAAUUGAGUCUGUUUUGACCUCACAGAGUCGUCUCUACUGUGAGAACAAUAAUAGUAACAAAGAUAGUAACUACUGUUCCUUGAGCUCUUGUGUGCACACACUUUGCUAAGCUUUUUACAUGUAUGUAUACCACCGGCUCAUUUAAACCUCACCACUUGAGGAAGGUUCUGUUACCCAUUUGCACAUGAAGAAAACUAGACCUAGGUCCAAGAACCGUAUUAGGUGUUUUGUGUGGAAGAGGUUACCCUUGAGCUCAGUGCUGAAGAACGGGGUUUGGUUAGAAAGCCGGAAGAUUAUAAAGAGAAGAGCCACGUGCUUAUAGAAGCACAAAGGCAGAAAAGGACAAGGCUUUAUGUGGAGUGACAAGUUUAAAAACCUAUGGAUUUGUUAAGGGUUUAGAAUUGUAGAUGAGUAGAAUGUCAGAGAAGACCACAGAGGUGUAGGUCACCAGUGACAGUGACUUUAAAACUUUAAAGUAGCCAAGCCCAAGGUCUCUGGGUGGUGCAAAGGGUUUGUACUUGGCUGGUAACCAAAAGGUUGGUGGUUCAAACCUACCCUGGGGGCACCAGGGAAGAAACAGGCCUGGUUCUGUUUCUGUAAAGAUUGUUGUGUGGCCAUGUCGAUUCUAGCUCUUAGCAUACCUGAGCACAGAACAGAACUGCCCCAUAGGGCUUCCAAGGCUGCUGAUCUUUACAGGAGCAGGUUGUCAGGUCUUUUCUUCCACAGAGCUGAUGGUGGGUUUGAAUCGCCGACCCUUAGCUUCACAGCUGAGCGCGUCACCGUUGCACCACCAAGGCUCCUUUUUGUAAAAAUUAUAGCUAAGAAUACCCUUUGGAGCAGUUCUACUCUGUAACACGUGGAAUUUCCUAAAUCACAAAUCAACAAACAAAUGUAGCUAAACUUUUUUUUUUUUCGAAUGAAAUGUCUGUAUUUUGGUUGUACAGAGAAGUAAAUGGUGAUUCUUUUUUUUUAGCAAUUCAUUUUGCAAUCCCAGGAUAGGAAGGUCUGCCCUAAAAUAGCCUAGUGGCACAAAUUCACACCAGCACGUUAAUAUGCCUAUGAUCGAAUAUGUCUUAUGUUAAAAAAAAAAAAAAAAAACUUUUAAAAAUUGCUAAGUAUAUGUAUUUUUAAAUGCAAGUGUCUGAGAAACUCCUGCAGCCUGGUUAUGAAGCUCCUAAAGCCGCCAACAGAGGAAGAGCCUCAGGCUCAGGGAGGUGGAAUGAGCUGCUCAUUAACAGAGCCCAGCUGGGGCAGUCUCCGGGCGCUCGGCCUCCUGACUCCUGGUCCAGUGCUCCUUGUGCGUGACCAGCCGUGGCAUGUGGUAUGGCAGUGUGCCCCAGCCUGGCUGGUAAACCCCUCAUCCUGAGAGGGCCCUGGCCUCUUGUCCAUCUCGCCAGCAGAUAAAGCCUCAGACAAUGACAAAUAAUUCUUGGCUCAGGGAGUUCACGCAGGUCUGAUUCACCCAGCAGCUUGUGGCUGUGCCAGCCCGAGAGCCUGUCCCCUUGUGCUCUGCUUUUUUUUUUUUUUAUCACUCCCCUCACUGGCCAGACUGGGACUCUUAUUUUUUUUUUUUUUAUUAUUUUUAUUAUGCUUUAAGUGAAAGUUUACAAAUUAAGUCAGUCUCUCAUACAAAAAUUUAUAUACACCUUGCUAUAUACUCCUGGUUGCUCUCCCCUUAAUGAGACGGCCCACUCCCCCUCUCCACUCUGUAUUUUCGCAUCCCUUCGGCCAGCUUCUGACCCCCUCUGCCCUCUCAUCUCCCUUCCAGACAGCUGCCCACAUAGUCUCAUGUGUCUACUUGAUCCAAGAAGCUCACUCUUGGUCAGUAUCAUUUUCUAUCCCAUAGUCCAGUCCAAUCCCUCAUACUGGGACUCUUGAGCAAGAGCAGACACCUGUGAGCGUGAGAAUGGCGGCUGCUCUUUCAAGGAAGGUUUUCCAGGCCGCAAAGGAACUUGUCCGCUCCCUUCAGCUGGGUGGCUCAGCAUUGCCCCAUCAGCCUCAGUUUCAGUAUCAGGGUGGGGCAGCGUGGGGUGUGGCACUGUGUUACCAGGGCAGGCCCUUAUUGGCCACAGACAUGUUGGCAACAGGUGGUGGCUCGGGGCACGGGAGAACAGAUGGGCUACCCACUCACGGAAUUUCAGAAAUACCAUGUAUCUGCAUUUGUCUUUUGAAAGAAUCUGCUUGUAAGUGGCAGGACAUUUUAAAAUUUACCUUGCCCUUUUUUCCUUCUUCGAGACAAGCACUCCUAGUAAUCAUUGUUAGAUGUUUCUUAUUAUAGUAUACUUAGAAUAUUUGUUUAAAGAAUGAGUUGUGUUGUUGCAGAAUAGAAGACUACAACUUGAAAACGGUGUUUGUUAUACAGAAACAAGGUUUUUUAAAUUGUGGUGAGAAUAUAUAUAUAUAUAACAAAGUAUUUGCCGUUUCAACAUUUUUUAUGUGUACAAUUCAGUGGCAUUAUGUUCAUUAUGUUGUGCCACCACCACCACUAUCAUUUUCACAUUUUUCCAUCAUCCUUAACAGAAGCUCAGUGCCCCUAAACAAUGACUCACAAGCAAAUAUUCUACAAGUAAGUUUGUAUGUUGAAAUCUUUCUGGCCAUAUUACCCAAAGCCAUUAUUUAAUAAUAGCCUAGUCUUAAAUGAACCCAGAGUUGGUCCCCCUGAAGCAGGUUCCUGGAAUAUUGCUCUGAUAAGGAAAGCUUUUCUCAGGGAGUUUGUGGUAAUGUUUCAGGAGAAGGAGAAGAUUCUGUUUUCCCUAGAGUUGGAGUCCUGACCUCGAUAGCACUGUCAAACAUUAGUAUAGCCCCUCCUGGCGCAUCAGGUAGGCUUUGAUUGCGGCGCAGCUGCGACUUUUUCAGGAACCUCAGUCUCCUCAGCUGUGAAGUGGGAGCCACACUGCUUCCCUUCCAGGCUUGUUGGGACAAAAAGAUGAGGUAACGAAUGUAAAAGACCAACAACUGCACCUGGCACAGAGGCCCUGGAAGAUACCAAGGUCAGCUUUUUCCUACCCUACUCCCUUUAAUUACUCAUUUUAAACUCAGAAGUAAUUUAUGCUGCAGAAAAAUGUAGAACAAAAUUUUAACACAAACGAAAGACCAGACCUGCUGGUCUGACAGAGAUUGGAGAAACCGUGAGAGUAUGGCCCCUGGAUACCCUUAUAGCUCAGUACUGAGAUCACUCCUGAGGUUCACCCUUCAGCCGAAGAUUAGACAGGCCCAUAAAACAAAAUGACUAAAUGGGCACACCAGCCUAGAGGCAAGGUCAGAAAGCAGGAGGAGAUAAUGAAAGCUGGUAAUGGUAAACCCAAGGUUGAGAACAGGAGAGAGAUGACACAUUUUGGGGUUGACAACCAUUGUCACAAAACAAUGUGUAUUAAUUAUUUAAUGAGAAACUAACUUGCUCUGUAAACCUUGAUCUGAAGUACAAUAAAAGAAAAAAACCUUAUAUAAAAAAAAAAGUAACCUAUGACCCUGGUAGCAAAAUUACAGUGCAGAUAAAACAGGAAGAAAAUGACCCAAUAGCUUCUGGUUUUCUUAAGUAGUUUUUCUCCAUCGUGGUAUUUUUUUUUUAUUCUGUGCGCUUAGGGUGGGAAAUUUCUGCUUAGGUGGUGUCAGGGAGGUGAUAUCAUGGACCCACACUGCAAAUGAGGAAACUGAAUUCCAGAAAGAGGAAGUGCCGUCCUCAAGGUCAUGCAGAUAAGAGGCCUGAGCCUGGCUUGAAACCCAUAGCUUCCUGAGUCCAAGCCCAGCACUUGUGUCAGGACCACAAGGGGACCUGGAGAUGCUUCUUAUUGUACCCAGGUGACUCUCAGACGCCUGCCCUGAAACACUCAUGUGUGUUGGGAGCUUUGUGGCCAUAAUACCAUAUUUCUGUCGUGAGACCUUGUGAAGUAGUGGCCACUCCCCACUGAACACAAACAACUGCUUCGUGGUCUGCCCUGACCUAGAGUCCUGGGACUGGAUAGGUUGUGAAUGAACAACCUGAUAGGUUUGGGGUUUUGGGGCCCCUUAGUUUUGAUUCUACAGGAAUACUGGGUCAGCACCACCCUUAGGGCACUGCGUCUGUGGCCCUGGCCUGCCAGCACACAAGUGCUGUCAUUCUGGAUUCUUCCUUUGCAUUAAGGGAUGCUCUUUAAUCUGUUUUGUCAUUAACACUGGUUUUCAGAAUGGCUGUCUUGGGAUUCCCAGCAAAUAUUUUCAUUGUUUUCCAAAAGAGAAACAAAUAUGGGAUCGUUUCGAUGGCUAGAGUACACUCCCAUGUUACAAUUAUGCAUUGAAGUGGGCAAGGUCAAGUGGAUUGUGGGCUAUGCUCCAGCCUUCAUGAAAUCUAUUAGAAUAAUUUCAAAGAGUGCCAAGAAGAUAAAUACAUCAGGCCAUGAACCCUAAUUUUGUGAUGAGUGUGAGCAAUCACUUGUGAUCCCCAUAAGGGCCCUACCAUAUACUGGUCCAGUUGGUGUUCCCACCCAUCCUGUGCCCGCGGGGUGUGCCUGUGAAAUGUCAGAUCUGGUGGGCCUGAGGUGAAGAAAGAAGGGGUCUUCGUUUACUCAGUUUGCCCGUCUGUAGAAGGGGCAGUUGGGCUAAGGGUGGCACAGGCCUUGCAUGAGAGCCUGCCCGCUUCUCCAUGCUGUGCCCCUGGACCGAAUGACCACGGCGUCCUUCCAGCCCAGCUAACAUGGCCUCAAACCACUGCUUCAGGCAGAACCAGCCCGUGACAGGAAAAGAAUUUGCUACAUCAAGUCCCCAUGGUCUCCGAGGUCCUUUCUAGCAUUGACAUUCCAGGAUUCUGUGACUCCAGGAAAAAACAAGGCUGUUUCUUUCUGACAGUGGUAAGUAUAGAUGGUCAUCUUACUGGGAGGGAAAGGAAAAACGGUAAGUGCAUUCCAAAACUCCAAACCUGUUGCCAUCGAGUAGAUUACGACUCAUAGUUCAGUGUAGAACUGUCCCAUCGGGUUUCUGAGGCUGUAAUCUUUACAGAAGCAGACUGCCACAUAUUUCUCCCGAGGGGUGGCUGGUGGGUUUGAACCUCCAACCUUGUGGUUAGCAACCGAGCCCUUGACCACUGCACCGCCAGGGCUCCUGUAAGCGCGUAAACACAAGAAAACCCAUUGCCAUCAAGUCGAUGUUAACUCACAGCAACUUUAUAGGACAGAGUAGAACUACCCCAUAGGGUUUCCAAGGCUGAAAUCUUGACAGAAGCAGAUUGCUACAUCUUUCUUGAACUGCUGACCUUCCAGUUAGCACCUGAGCACUUAACCCCUGCACCACCAGGGCUCCUUGCAAGUGCAUACCAAAAACCAAAAAAACAAACCUGUUGCUGUCGAGUCAAUUCUGACUCAUAGUGACCCUAUAGGACAGAAUAGAACUGCCCCAUAGUUUCCAAGGAGCGCUCUGGUGAAUUCGAACUGCUGACCCUAAGGCCUGAGUAAUUCAUCGGGCCUGUGCCCUUCCAGGCAUUUGUGUGCUUAGGGCUAUCAGCAGGCCUGACGUUGGGAUUCACACUGGCUCAGAGGUUGCUUGGUGAACGUGGGCACCCAAGGGGUUGGGUUCUUUCUCAGAAAGGACUGGUGGGUAUAAAGGUCCUGGUACAGAUGGAUGCCGACGAGGACUUGAAGACCACCAGGGCCAGGGUUACUUCUCAUUAUUCAGCUCAGCAGCAGGAAGGUUUGGAAUAAAGUCUCCAGGGAGCACAGCAGGCAACCAGGUCGGGAGUCUGGUGGAAGAGCUCAGCUCUCAGAGUCAGCUUUUGCUCCUGGGAACAUCAUCACGCAAGUCUGGGCAAGUUACUUUGCUCCCUGAGCCUUGAUCUCUUCAUCUGUAAAAUUAAUACUAUUCAUUGAGCUAUUUGGAGACUACAUGGAAAAACAAUAACCUUUACUAAGCACUUGGUAGGUGCCAGGGACUGUUUGCAGGUAUUACUGUAAUUUCUUUAAUCUUCACAGCAACCCUCAGCAUAGGUGCUAGUACUGUCUCUGUUUUAGGAAACAGGCACAGACAAGUAACUUGCCCAGAGUCACACAACAGCAAGUAGGGGAGCUGGGAUUGGAAGCUAGAUGCUCUGGCUUCAGAGCAGGUGUUUGAUAAGAACCUAUUAGAUAAAUAAUCAAUUCUAGGGCUGGUGGUAGAGAAUCCUAGACAACAACCCGAGGGUCACGGGCUAUUCAAAGUAGACAGGCUUAGAAAGGCCUUAAUGUAACCCGCUGUUCGAUGUGUGAGAACCCCAGGGGUUAGAGGGGAAGGGCCUGCUGACAGUCCUUGUCAGUUGGUGGCAGAACUGAGGUGAAGGCUCAGGUCUCUGGACGGCCAUGCCUAGUUAAGGGCACCCAGAUUCCACAAUCCUGAGCUGUGUUCUAGGAAACACAACUCAUGGCUAAAAAGUGCCAUCCCUUCCAUAAGCAUUAACAGAGUCUAAACUCCAAUCCCUUCCACCCUCUGACAUGUUUUAUCCAUUAACUCUGCUCCCAGGUACAUCCACAACACAUUCAGUGUGUGACAUAAAUGGUAAUGAAAAAAACCGGUCUUGAAAUAAGAUACUAUGCAAUGCUGUGCGGCAGUUAGAAAAAAGUGAGCUGGAUUUAGAUGCAGCUCAGAGCUUGAAAAUGGCGCCGAGUGGAAAGAGAGGUAUCUGCAGCUUGGUGCCACUUACGCAAACAAAGACACAUGCCCACAAAGCACUGCGCUUUAGAACACAAACAAACAGAAGUAUUUUGAAUGGCUGCCUGUGGGGCAGAGGAGCGGGACUAACUCCCUCUUCUGUACCUAGGGCCGAAAAUGAAAUUAAGUAAAAACAAGAGACCUGACAGAAUCAUUCUGCCUGAAACACCCUGACCCUGGGCUCAAGGAGGAAAGAUAGGCACACUUCCUGGGCUACCUCACCAAAGGCAGGGACCUGAGUGUCACAGGUGGGGUGAGUGAAGUCGAGGGGAGGGUCAGCCACACCUACCUCCAUGAACCCCAGCUGCAGGCCAAGGGCCACAGGCAGACCCACCAAGGCUUUGGGGAAGGGGAGUCUCUUGGCUAGUUAGUAUCAGAGGCCACGCAGCGUAGCCAAGUCCACUGUUAGAAUGAUCCUAAGGAUGUCAAGAAGAUACAGAUUUGGCCAAUAAUUCCAUGAUAAUAGGUCAUCAAUCACAAUGUGGGCUUGAUUGCUGUGAGGACCCUGCCAUGUGCUGGUCCAGUUGCCAAACCUGCGGGAUGUGCCUGUGAAAUGUCUGAUCUUUUGGUGGUCCUGAGGGUCAGGUGAAGAAAAGGGGGUCUUCAUUUACUUAGUUUGCCCAUCUGUUGAAGAGGGGCAGUUGGAUGCAGACCUCACCUAACCGCCCACUUGGCUUCCAGGACCUUCCUGGGAAGUGGUUAACCCCUAGGUGCAGAGCCUGCCAUUCUGAGCUCAAGCCACAAGGUGGCAGUGUGGUCAGUGCAGGCACCUGGAAUCCAGCUGGGGAAGAAAGCCACUUCUCAACUCCAGGCCAACUGUGUGUCCAGGUUUGCCGGCAGUUACAGGAAGGGGCGACUGUGGUCCUUGGAGAGAGGCUCAUUGAUUUAUUAGGCCUGAGAUGGGCUAAAAAUAAAAAAAAGUAAUUCCAGUGGUUUGGGACAGACGUCAGGAGAGGCCAAUGUGAUUUUCUAGAAAGUGUAUCUCCAAGCCUGGUAGUCUUCUGAAUCCACACCCCAGAGAUGGGUGAGAGUGUGUGUGAAUGUGUCUAUGUGAAUGUGUGAGUGUGGAUGUUGCUGUUUGUGUGUCUGAGAGUGACUGUGACUGGCUGUGUGGGGUUGUGACUGUGAGCAUGAGUGUGUGAGUGUGUGUAGGGGAGGGAAAGGUAAGUGGCGGGCUCAGGUGUCGCCAGAGAGGCUGGGAGGAAACAAUAAACCUGGGCGAUGUCCUUCUUAUCAGCAAGCCCUUCUUCUGGGUCCACAGGGCUAGAGAGCAAAGUUCACGUGAUAGCAGUGUCUGGGAGGCAAGAAGCAUGGUGGUGGAAUUGGAGACUCUAGUGGGAAACAGCCACAGUGAACUGCACAGAGCCCAGACUCAGAGCAUGGCCCUCACCCAGCACAGCUGGUUCCAACCAGCCUGACCAGUUUUCAGGUUGGGUGGGGGUGGAGAAUUAGCCUCUCUGAACCUCAGUUUUUUCAUCUGUAAAAUGGCAAAAAUCAUCAGACCUACCUCCCCGGCUGCAGGCAAGGAUUAAGAGAGCUAUGUAUGUAAAGCACUUAGAAGAAGACCUAGCAUCUAAUUAGUGCUCAGAUGGUGGGUGCGAGGGAAAUACAAAAUCAAGCUAUGCAGAGAGCCCCGCGGGACCUAGUCUAUAGCAGGCACUCAUAAAGGUCAGUGCCUUGUCCUUCCCUGCCCCAGCCUUCCAGGAAGACCUUUCUUAAGAAGCGGUGCGUAUCUGGUCCCUGGAGGGGUAUGUGUAGAGGCAUGCCUGCCUGGAGUGGGCUGUUAGGCUGUUGACCUUAGAGAUCCCAAUGAUUUUUGCCAUUUUACAGAUGAAGAAACUGAGGUUCAGAGAGACUAAUUCUCUACCCCACACAACUUGAAAACUGGUCGGGCUGGUUGGAACCCAGCUCUGCUGGGUGAGGGCCCAUGCUGUGAGUCUGGGGCUCUGUGGAGUUCAGUGUGGCUUAUUCCCGUUCCCCCGAGGGGUGUGCGCAGAGGCAUGCCUGCCUGGAGUGGGCUAUUGACUGCUGACCUUUGAGAUCCACUGCAGCUUCCGCCACUCUCUGCAGGACACCAAGCCAUUUAUAGUACUGACUCAUGCCUACUCCUGCUCAAGUUUCUCCCUUGUUUUCUUUUUUGUUUUUAUUGAGGACUGGGUGGAGAACGUUUGGUGUCAUCAGGGAUUACUUUUAAACCACUGUCUCACAUUGAGAGCUGGCUUGAGUCAACUGGUCACCAUGGAAUUUCUUUUUUUAGUGUGUAAACAGCCAAGUUUUCGGCAGCUGUUGCCCCCAUCCAGAGCGGAAAGCAGCCUGUUGAUGUAGAGCUGCCUGGCUCCUAUUUCUUGGGCAAACAGAUGCCUUGUCUCUCAACUUGUCAAUUAGGAAGCCCAAAAAGGUGACUGGGAAACCACAUGUCUGGUUAUUCAGGUGGCCACACCUGGGAAGCCUCUCUGAAUGUCAAAGCCACAAGAUAAAGGACAUAAAUAGAGGAAACACUGUUUCGGAGCCAAAGUAUAAAAACUCCCAGCCAAUCCACAAACCGCGGAGCCUUCCCUGAGUGCCUGUUUCGUGCAGGUUCUGAGCCUGGGGUGGGGUUCCCGAGGGGAGGGGGGCUGGAGCUGUAACUUGAGGUACUGGUAGGAAUUACACGAGCUGGGGUAAGGGCCCUUCAGGAGGGGGUGGUGUGAGCAAGAGCGUAGAGGUAGGAACGUACAGUCCUGGGAAAGUUUGGUUGGAACAGAGAGUUUACAACAAUAAAUUCAACCAACAUUAAUUGAGCAUCUAGUAUGUGCUAGACACUGUUCUAGCCACCGGGAUACAGAUGUAACCAAAACAGAAAUUCCUCCUCUGUGGAUAUCCUAGUGAAUAACAACAGUAUAAAUAAUAACAGCUAACAUUUAUUGAAAGCUCAUUGCAUGCCAAGCACUGUUUCAAGCACUUUGUAUUUAUUUACUUAUUUAAUCCUCAAAAUACCCAUGUGAAGUUGGUAUUGCUAUUAUCCCCAUUUCACAGAUGAGGAAGUAAAGGCACUGAGUGGUGGAGCCAGGGUUCAAACCUGGAGCCCGUGCUCUGAACCAUGACACUCCAAGCCUCUACAACUGGCAAUAAUGAAGUGGUGAGAGGUCAGGCUGGCCAGGUAACGUCGGUGAGUCUGGAGGGUGGCAAAUUUGAGCAGGGUGGCAAAUUUGAGCAGGGGGAGGAGGGAGCCAGGGCUUUAGGAAGAUGAAUCUGGGGUGGUGUGUGGAGUUGAGCAGGGGCAGACGAAUGGACUUUUGUGGGUUCAGGGGGGUGGUGCAGGCCCACAGCCUCACUGGGCAGGGGAGAGGGGUGAAUGAAGACAAAAUAAUCAGUCAGAUAGGGCUUGGAAGAUUCGUCAGGCCUGGAAUUACUGGACUUGGCAUAAAUCAUUCCUUCCUUGGUGAAAGAGGACUGACUGACCAGGUUCAUUGUGGAUUAUUGUUUUUAUUAUCAUUAACUGCAAUUUCAAGGGGUGACGGAGCCUUUCUGGGGCAUUGGGCCCUUAGCCCACAAUGAGGAGCUCCAAGGGCCUCCCAGGCUCAGCUGGAAGACAUACUGUCUGUUCUUGGUCCUUCUCUCUGGAUUCCAACAGCCAAUCCCCAAAUUCAGGGUUCAGGUGAGUCCCAGGCCACUCCCACUCCCCAUCGCCCCUCUCCCCAUUGCCCCUCUCCCCAUCGCCCCUCUCCCCAGGUGGGAUUGCAGGACCCUUCACAUUUCUUCAUCGGUGGCCAGCCUGCAGGCCCCUGUGCACAGCUGGAGCCAUGCUUUUGUGUGUGUGGUGGGGGUGUAGCUCUACUGCCAUUGUCCCCCUGCCUCCAACCAGGGCCACACCCUCUCCAGACUCCCAGAAACCCACACCAGGUCCCUGUUUCAACCUCUUCCAGUGUUCAUCUGUGUUUUCUGAAUGGAUGUAGGCUCUCGGGGCCAACUUGAGUUUUUGGCGGCCACUGCCCGGCUGCUGCCGGUCCAGCUCGUAAAGUGCCCCUCCCUACACCUGCACACUCCUUUCUCACCAGGGGCUUGGCCAGGCCUCCUCCUCCUUCUGCCUGGAGAGAAGGUCCAGACCCUCAGGCACCUUCUGCCCCCAACCGGCAGGCUCAUUCUCCCCUCCAUCCCCCUACCCCAGCCCUGCUCUGACCCCCAGAACUCAACUCCAAAACAUGCUUCUCUCUGGAACAGGGCAGGAACGCAGGCCAGGGGCCUCCAUGAGGUGGGAACAAUGUCAAGAAUGAAUUUCAAGGUUUUUCUUUAAGAACUUCCUCAGCCUGGCAGCCCUUGAGGGCUGGGAAUUCCCGCCUGGGGAAUUUUUCCAAUAUUCUGCCAGCUGUUUCUUCUGUUUCAGUGGUUUUAUUAUUUUUUCUGUCUGUUCCAACUCCUUUCGCUUUCAGUACAGCAGCUCAGGCAGAGUGGCAGUGGAGGGUGGGGUCCUGGCAUUUGCUGAGUUGGGACCUGUGGCCAUGGCCAGCUGUGCCAAGGGAGUGGAUGGGAUGAAGGAGGAAAAUAGGGGUGGAAUAGAGGAAGUGAGACAGCACCAGGGUGGCUUCUUUGUUUUCCUGGGGAUCUUUGCGUCACUCAGCUCUGGGCACGGGCCUUGUCUCCAGAAGGCCCCCAUCAGAAAAGCACAUCUGUGACUCGUGAGGGUGACACAUUAACCCAGUAACAUGAAUUCACUUGUCAGACGUGUGAGCUGGUGUGGAAUAGAGAACAGGGACCAAAGGAAGAGCGCAUGGAACAGGUCAGUUUUGAAGACAAGCGUAGGAAGGGUCUGCGCACAGAGGACUUGCCUGUGGAGGUGCUGUGCAGAGUGAGUCUGAGCAGCUGGAGGACAGCAAGGGGUGCCCGAAAGAAAAACAGCUGCCUUGACUCAAUUCCGACUCAUGGGGACCCCAUGUGUGUCAGAGUAGAACUGUGCUCCACAGGGUUUUCUUUCAUUUUAUUUAUUUUGUUGUUGUCAAAAAUACACGCAGGAAAACGUAUGCCAAUUCAAGUUUCUACGCGUAUAAUUCAGUGGCAUUGAUUACAUUCUUCGAGUUGUGCAGCCAUUUUCACCCUCCUUUUCUGAGUUGUUCCUCCUCCAUUAACAUAAAUUCACUGCCCCCCUAAGGUUUCGAUCCAAUCUUUCAAAUUGCUGCUGUCAAUUUGAUCCCAUAUAGAUAGUUCUUAAAAGAGCAUAACGCUCAAUCAAGGCAGACCUUUUUUACUAGUUGAGCUAAACUAUUGUUUGGUUUUAAGGAGACUUCAAGGGAUAUUUUUGGUUUAAGGUUUAAAGAUUAACUCAGGGCAGUAGUCAGAGGUCCAUCCAGGCUUCAUGGCUCCAGGAAGCCUGGGGUCAUGAGAAUUCGAAAUUCUGUUCUGCAUUUCCCCAUUUGGAUCAGGAUUUUUUUUUUACAGAAUCUUUGAUCAAAACAUCCAGUAACGGAAGCCGGGCACCAUCCAUCUCUUCUGGUCUCAUGGCCAAGGAGGCAGCUGUUCAUGGAGGAAGUUAGUCACACGUUCCAUACCCUCCUUCUAUUCCUGACUCCCUUUCUUCUGCUGUUGCUCCAGGCAAAUGGACACUAAUUGUUGUGACUUGGAAGCCCGCUUGCAAGCUUUUAAGACCCCAGGCUCUACCCAGUGAACUGGAGUCUAAAACAUUUGAAAAACACUGGAGUGAUGGUUCGGCAGUAGAAUUCUCAUCUCCCAUGUGAGGGACCUGGAUCUGAUUUCCAGCCAAGGCACCUCAGGCGCAGCCAUCACCUGUCAGUGGAGGCCUGCAUGUUGCUACGAUGAGGAACAGUUUUCAGUGGAGCUUCCAGACUAGGAAGAAAGGCCUGGUGAUCUACUUCCAAAAAAUCAGUCAGUGAAAACCUUACGGGUCAUAACGGUCCAAUCUCGUUGUGCACGGGGUCACCAUGAGCAGAGGUGACUCAAUGGCAGUUAACAGCAACAACAACUUGUGUUUUUCAGUUUCUCUUUGAGAAAUGAACCAGAAGAGCUGAAACCAUGCUGGUUUCCUUCCCCCAACAGAGAAAUGGGCACCUGCAUUCCUGGGGAUGCAGCCAGGAGCUUCCAAGCCAUCAGACCGGUUUCAGGCGUUUGGAAUCCGGUUGGUGGGGCAUAGGGUGGGCACUCUUUCUGAAGCCUACACCAGGAGGGAGGGGACUCUGGGCUGCUCAGGGUGCCCUGGAAUCCGGGGCGGCCGGUAGGCAGGGCAGUCAUUCCCCACUCCAAGGCUGGGUUCGCACCAGAGUGGAAAAUGGGGAACUUUCUCUUUGGCAGCCUUCACUAUCCAUCUGCCCUUCUCCUCCUUUGUCUCACCUCAGAGACCCUCUGCUGAAUUCAGGAGGUGUGCAUUGUCCAGGGCUGAUCAGAGGGACUGCCAGCCUCCAUCCACUCAGAUCUGCCCUCGAUCAUUCCUAACACUCACCCUCCCUUGCCAAUCAAACUGCCUGUCAUGGAUUAAAUUGUGUCUUCCAAAAAUAUCUGUCAGCUUGGCUAGGUCAUGAUUCCCAGCACUAUACCAUUUUGUCUUCUGAUUUGUUUCCUUAUGUGUUGUAAAUCCUAUCUCCAUGAUGGAAAGAGAGGGCUUAGUAGCAGUUAUACUGAUGAGAUCUUCAAGAUUAGGUAGUGUCUUAAGCCAAUCUCUUUUGAGACAUAAAAGAGAGAAGGGAGCAGAGAGACAGGGGACCUCAUACCACCAAGAAAGCAGCGUUAGGAGAAGAGUGUGUCCUUUGGACCUGGGGUUCCUGGUCGAGAAGCUCUUAGGCCAGGGAAGGACUGAUGACAUGGACCUUCCUCCAGAGCCAACAAAGGGAGAAGGCCUUCCCCUGGAGCUAAAGCCCUGAAUUUGGACUUGUAGCCUACUAGACUAUGAGAGAAUAGAUUUCUUUCUUAAGGCCAUCCACUUGUGGUAUUUCUGUUAUAGCAGCACUAGAUGACUAAGACACUGUCCUUUGUGAGUCAGGAGGCCAAGAAAUAUCCUGGGUCCCUCUGACCCAGAAUUUCACUUUGAGAAAUCAAUCCUCAACAAAUAGUCCCUCAAAUGCUGUUCCUGCUAUGUGAAACCUGCCCUGACCAAUGCUCCCCUGCCCCUGCCCCCUCCCUCCAUACCAGACAUUCAGUUAUUUGAUCAUUCAUCCAUUCAGUGUGUAGGAGGGCCUGCUACAUGCCCUGUGCUCUAGCAGCUGCUGGGAUACAGAGAGAAAAACAGGCCCUGGCCCUCCUCUAAGGGCCUGGUGGGCAGAGUCAGGGGCUCUUCCUUGGCCCACUCACACGGGCAUGCCCUGCAUAUGUCUGCUUAUAUAGCCCUCUUUCCCCAGCCCCACCCCAGCACCUCUGUCUUACGCAUCUUUGUUUCCCAGCACCCAGCACAGUGCCAGCCAUCAAAUAGGCCUUCUAUGCACGGCAGAUUACAGUGGACAGAAAGGGAAAUUGGGUUUUUCCUAAAGCUGGUUUUAACUUUGUUAUUUAGGGAUAACAAAAGAUGAAGAAAGUCAACUAAGACAUAGACACUGGGUUAAAGAGUCUGCUGCUGUUAGAAUGAGCUAUUUUACAGAGGAUAAUUUGGCCAUCUCUAUCAAAAUUACAAAUGCAUUUACUUUUCGACCCAGCAAUUCCGCUUUCAGGAAUUUAUCUAGCAGGUGGAUGCUCACGCAUGUGAAAUGAUCUAUGUACAAGGCUAUUCACUGCAGCAUUGUUUGCAGCUGAUUGGAAACAACUUAAAUAUUCAUCUAGAACAUUUUUUUAAAACAAAAAAACCUGCUGCCAUAGAUGAUUCUGGCUUAUGAGAACUCCAUGUUUUAAAGAAUAGAACUGCUCCACAGGGUUUUCUUGGCUGUAAUCUUUACAGAAACAGAUCACCAGGCCUUUUUUCCAUGGUGCUGCUGGGUGGGUCCAAACCACCAAUCCUUACUAGUUGAGCACAAACCAUUUGUACCACCCAGGAGCCUCAACUAUAGGGACCUAGUUUAAUAAGUUGUGGUACACCUAUAUAGAAUAGAAUCCUAUGCUGUUAUGGAAAAAACAAAAAAACAAGAAUGAGGAAGCUCUCUUUGACUAUAAAUAGGACAAUCUCCCUGGCUUAGAGUUAAAAAGGAAGAAUGGGAAUAGUUCAUUACUUUUUGUGUAAAAAAUGGAGAGGGCAUGGGGAGGGGUGAAGAUACAUUUAAAUAUAUGUUUGUUUAGAUAUGUGUAGAAAGAUCCUUCGGUAAGGAAAUACAAGAAAGUGGUAACAGUAGAUGCCUGUGAGAGGAGAAACGGACAAAUUGGGGAUGGGGUGGGAGGAAAUCCCAAAAUAUUGUGCCAUGUAAAUGUGUUACCUAUUAAAAAUUAGGAAGACUAUGUGACAACAUGGAAAAUGCUUAUAAUGUUAGCUUUAGGUGGGAAAAAAAGAUAAAAAUUGUAUAUUCAGUAGGAUGGCAACUAUGUAAAAUAAAUGAUUGUUAAAAUUCCCAUCUAUAGAAAGAACAUUCUUGGUAAUUUUCAUUUCCUCCUUAUUUUGUAGUUAUUUCCCAGAAUUUUCUAUAAUAAAUAUAUAUUGCUUUCAUAAUUAGAAAAAAAUUAAUGAUAUAAGAAAAUGCUUAUAUACUCUAAGAGAAUUGUAUGUUCUACGUAAUCUCAACUGUGUACACAAGACAUUGAGAAAGACUGGAAGAAAAUAUGCAAAAUGUUCGCAGUGGUUGUCUCUGGAUGUGGGAUAAUAGGUGAUUCUUAAAAUAUUACAAUGACCUUGUGUUAGUCUCAUGACUAGAGGAAAGAAAGGAAGGAAAGAGAAGGAAGGAAAAAAAUCUAGCAGGAAAGAAUUCUUGAAAAUAGCAGUUGUGUAAGGUGGUAAGGGAGCCCUGGUGGCAUAUUGGUUAAGAGAUCGCCUGCUAACCAAAAGGUUGGCAGUUUGAAUCCACCAGCUGCUCCUUGGAAACCCUGUGGGGCAGUCCUACAUUGUCCUAUAGGGUUGCUAUGAGUCGGAAUCGACUUGACGGCGACAGGUUUGGUUUUUGGCUUUAGGAUGGUAAGAUUAGGGGUGAUUUUGAUUUCUUUGUUCAGUUUUCCAAACUUUUCAUAAUGUGGUUUUGUUGUUAUUUUAGUGGGAACAAGACCCUCACUGCUAUAGAGCGGGAGUCCACUCCCCCAAAACCUGCUGUUUGUCCUAAAGAGCUAGAGUUCCUAAUUGCUUAUUAUUCAUUCCAAGUAACGAGGUCCAAGGAGUUGCUUGGAUGGUGGGAGAUCUGUACUGGAGACAUGUUGCUGUGGAGAGAGAGUGAGGCUUCAGGGCAUCCUUAGACUCUUAAAAUGUCUUAGAGAACAUCUCUGGAGCCCUAACUCUGCGAGGCAUGGUGCUGGGUAGUACAAGGAUGUCAAGCCCCAGUACAUGCCCUCCCUGGGCUCCAGCCUCCUACGGCACUCCAGGGCAAGGGGAUUCAUGUGGAGAUUGAGAGGGAGACUUCAAAUGGGUUUAAGCAGGGGUCUGUUAAAGUCCAACACCUAUUCCUGAUAAAAACUCUCAGUAAAAUAGGUAUAGAAGGGAAAUUCCUCAACAUAAUAAAGGUCAUCUAUACAAAAUCAAUAGCCGACAUCAUUCUUAAAUAUUCCCCCUGAGAAAAGGAAUAAGACAGGGAUGCCGUUUAUCACUACUUCUAUUUAACAUUGUGCUGGAAGUCCUAGCUAGAGCAAUAAAAGCAAUAAGGCAAGAAAAAGAAAUAAGGGGCGUCCAAAUUGGUAAGGAAAAGUAAAACUAUCCCCAUUUGCAGAUGAUAUGAUACUAUACAUAGAGAACCCAAAAGACUCCACGAGAAAACUACUGGAACUAAUAGACUCAGCAGAGGAGCAGGAUAUAAGAUAAACAUACAAAAAUCAGUUGGAUUCCUAUGCACCAAAAAAGAGAACUAUGAAAAGGAAAUCAGGAAAGCAAUACCAUUUAUAAUAGCCCCUAAAAAAUAAUAAAAUGCUUAGGAAUAAAUCUAACCAGGGACGUAAAAGACCUAUGCAAAGAAAACUACAAAACAUUGCUGCAAGAAACCAAAAGAGACGUUGUUGCUGCUGAAAAACAUACUAUGCUGAUGGAUAGGUAGACUCAACAUUGUGUAAAUGUCAAUACUACACAAAGCAAUCUACAGAUGCAAGGCAAUCUCCAUCCAAAUACCAACAGCAUUCUUUAACAAGAUGGAAAAACUAAUCGUAAAAUUUAUAUGGAAAGGAAAGAGGCCCUGGAUAAGUAAAGCACUACUGAGUAGGAGGACUCGCACUACCUGACCUCAGAACCUACUAUACAGCUACAGUAGUCAAAACAGCCUGGUACUGGUACGACAGACACAUUGACCAAUAGAACAGAAUCUAGAACCUAGAUGUAAAUCCAUCCACCUACAGUCACCUAAUCUUCAACAAAGGCCCAAAGUCCAUUAAAUGGGGGAGAAGACAGCCUUUUGUUAACAAAUGGUUCUGGCAAAACUAGAUGUCCACCUGUAAAAAAAUGAAACAGGACGCAUACCUCACAACAUACACAAAAACUAAUUCGAAAUGGAUCAAAGACUUAAAUACAAGAACCAAAAGCUAUAAAGAUCAUAGAAGAAAAAAUAAGGUCAACGCUAGAGGCCCUAAUAUAUGGCAUAAAUAUGAUACAGACCAUAACUAACAAUACACAAGUACCAGAAGAUAAGCUAGAUAACUAGGAUCUUCUAAAAAUUAAACAAUGCUCAUCAAAAGACUUUACCAAAAGAGUGAAAAGGGAGCCUACAGACUGGGAAAAAAUUUUUUGACUAUGACAAAUCCGGCACAGAUCUAAUCUCUAAAAUCUACAAGAAAAUCCAACACCUCUAAACAAAAAGACAAAUAAUCCAAUUAAAAAAUGGGCAAAGGAUAUGAAAAGACACUUCACCAAAGAAGACAUUCAGGUGGUUAACAGACACAUGAGGAAAUGCUCGUGGUCACUCACCAUUAGAGAAAUGUAAAUCAAAACUACAAUGAGAUACCAUCUCACCCUGACAUUACUGGCACGAAUAAAAAAAAAACAGAAAAUGAUAAAUAUUGGUGAGGCUGUGGAGAGAUUGGAACUCAUGCAUUUCACUGCUGGUGGGAAUGCAAAAUGGUACAACCAUUUUGGAAAACGAUGUGAUGCUUCCUUAAAAAGCUAGAAAUAGAAAUACCAUAUGAUCCAGCUAUCCCAUUCCUAGGAAUAUAUCCUAGAGAAAUAAGAGCUAUCACACGAAUAGACAUAUGCACACCCGUGUUCAUUGCAGCAUUAUUCACAGUAUCAAAAAGAUAGAAACAACCUAAGUGCCCAUCAAUAGAUGAAUGGAUAAAUAAACUAUGGUACAUACACACAAUGGAAUACUACCCAACAAUAAAGAACAACGAUGAAUCUGUGAAACAUCUCAUAACAUGGAUGAAUCUGGAAGGCAUUAUGCUGAGUGAAAUAAGUCAAUCACAAAAGGACAAAUACUGUAUGAGAUCAUUAUAAAAACUCAUGAAAAGGUUUACACACAGAAAGAAACAAUCUUUGAUGGUUACAAGGGAGGGAAGAGAUGGGGAGGGAAAAACACUAGACAAUAGAUAAGUGGUAACUUUGAUGAAGGAUAAGACAGUACACAAUACAGUACACAAUUUGACCAAGGCAAGAUCAUGGACGCUCCAUAGACACAUCCAAAUUCCCUGAGGACCUAAUUACUGGGAUGAGAUCUGUCUCAGGGGACAUCUAUCUCAAUUGGCAUAACAUAGUUCAUAAAGAAAAUGUUCUAUAUUCCACUGUGGUGGGGAGCACAUGGGGUCUUAAAAGCCUGUGAACAGCCAUCUAAGAUCUUCCACUUGCCCCUCUGCGUCUGAAGCAAGGGAGAAAGAAAAAAACCAAAGACACAAGGGAAUGAUUAGUUCAAUAGACUAAUGGGCCACACCUACCACAGCCUCCACCAGACUGAGUCCGGCACAAGUAGAUGGUGCCUGGCUACCACCACUGACUACUCUGAUAGGGAUCACAAUAGAGGGUCCCGGACAGAGCUGGAGAAAAAUGUAGAACAAAAUUCUAACUCACACAAAAAAAGACCAGACUUACUGGUCUGACAGACACUGGAGAAAUACUGAGAGUACGGCCCCCGGACAUGCUUCUAACUUAGUACUGAAGUCACUCCUGAGGUUCACCCUUCAACCGAAGAUUAAACAGGCCCAUAAAACAAAACGAGACUAAAUGGAUAUACCAGCCCAGGGGCAAGGACAAGAAGGCAGGAGGGGACAGGAAAGCUGGUAAUGGGGAACCCAAGGUCGAGAAGGGGAGAGUGUUGACACAUGCUGGAAUUGGCAAUCAAUGUCAAAAAACAAUAUGUGUGUUAAUUGUUUAAUGGGAAACUAAUUUGCCCUGUAAACCUUCAUCUAAAGCGCGCGCGCGCGCGCACACACACACACACACACACAAUAUUAGGCCUUGAAGGCAGAAGUCAACUUCACCAAUGGACAAACGUAGACCUGUGCAAGGGUUGAAUUCUCACAGUCUCCACCUGCUUUGCCAUAGUGAGCUCAUGUCCACAAAGAAUCUUCUUAGUGGAGGGACACCACUCACAAUUACAAAGCAAAGUGCCGAACAAGGAUUUUAUUUACCCAAACUCUAGAACCCUGGGUUCUGGUUCUGGGUGGGUCUGCUAUUGUCUAGCUGUGGAAACUUGGACAAGCCAUCCCACCUUUCUAACCUUCAGUCUCUUCAUCUGAAAUAUGGGAAGAAUCACCAUAAUAAAAAUGAAUAGUGCCUCCCUGACUACCUCCCACUUUUUAUGAGGAUCAGGUGACAUAAUAUAUGUAAAAGCACUUUAAAAGUAUAGAGGACAUCAACUGAUGAAUGGAUGAACAAAAUAUUAUAUAUUCAUACAAUGGAGUAUUAUUCAGCCAUAAAAAGGAAUAAAGUUUUGAUACAUGCUACAACAUGGAUGAACCCUGAGAAUA